rnacentral:rRNA from 1 species
GACGAACCGAGCGAACGUUGUUCGGAAUCACUGGGCUUAAAGGGCGCGUAGGCGGGUGCUCAAGUCUGUGGUGGAAAUCCUCCAGCUUAACUGGAGAACUGCCAUGGAUACUGGGUGUCUCGAGGAACGUAGGGGUAUGCGGAACGAUUGGUGGAGCGGUGAAAUGCGUUGAUAUCCAAUCGGAACUCCGGUGGCGAAGGCGGCCUCUGGGCAGUAGCUGACGCUGAGGCGCGACAGCGUGGGGAGCAAACAGG